AAAGGGAAGGUGAAAAGAAAUUUCAAGGAAAUCAAAAGAAAAGAACAGAGAAGUUUUUCGACUUUGUAGCUUUUGUUGUCUUUAUCUUGCUCGUUUUUCUCUUUUCGUUGAAUGUUUGAGUGUUUUUUUU
rnacentral:ribozyme from 1 species